GCGGCAGCACGGGGAGCUUGCUCCCUGGUGGCGAGCGGCGGACGGGUGAGUAAUGCAUAGGAAUCUGCCCGGUAGUGGGGGAUAACGUGGGGAAACCCACGCUAAUACCGCAUACGUCCUACGGGAGAAAGCGGAGGAUCUUCGGACUUCGCGCUAUCGGAUGAGCCUAUGUCGGAUUAGCUAGUUGGUAAGGUAACGGCUUACCAAGGCGACGAUCCGUAGCUGGUCUGAGAGGAUGAUCAGCCACACUGGGACUGAGACACGGCCCAGACUCCUACGGGAGGCAGCAGUGGGGAAUAUUGGACAAUGGGCGAAAGCCUGAUCCAGCCAUGCCGCGUGUGUGAAGAAGGCUUUCGGGUUGUAAAGCACUUUCAGCGAGGAAGAAAGCCUCUGGAUUAAUACCCCAGAGGAAGGACAUCACUCGCAGAAGAAGCACCGGCUAACUCCGUGCCAGCAGCCGCGGUAAUACGGAGGGUGCGAGCGUUAAUCGGAAUUACUGGGCGUAAAGCGCGCGUA
rnacentral:rRNA from 1 species